GAUGAGAACGCAGCGAAAUGCGAUAAGUAAUGUGAAUUGCAGAAUUCAGUGAAUCAUCGAAUCUUUGAACGCACAUUGCGCCCGCCAGCAUUCUGGCGGGCAUGCCUGUUCGAGCGUCAUUUCAACCCUCGAGCCCCCCCGGGGGCCUCGGUGUUGGGGGACGGCACACCAGCCGCCCCCGAAAUGCAGUGGCGACCCCGCCGCAGCCUCCCCUGCGUAGUAGCACACACCUCGCACCGGAGCGCGGAGGCGGUCACGCCGUAAAACGCCCAACUUUCUUAGAGUUGACCUCGGAUCAGGUAGGAAUACCCGCUGAACUUGAGCAUAUCAAUAAGCGGAGGA
rnacentral:misc_RNA from 1 species